rnacentral:rRNA from 1 species
AGGAGAGUUUGAUCCUGGCUCAGGAUGAACGCUGGCGGCGUGCUUAACACAUGCAAGUCGAACGGACUUUAUUGAAAAGAGGGGCUUGCCCCAAUGGAAGGUAAAGUCAGUGGCGGACGGGUGAGUAACGCGUGGGUAACCUGCCUUACACAGGGGGACAACAGUUGGAAACGACUGCUAAUACCGCAUAAGCCGGUAAUGCCGCAUGGCAUCUUCGGAAAAGAUUUAUCGGUGUAAGAUGGGCCCGCGUUGGAUUAGUUAGUUGGCGGGGUAACGGCCCACCAAGACGACGAUCCAUAGCCGACCUGAGAGGGUGAUCGGCCACAUUGGGACUGAGACACGGCCCAAACUCCUACGGGAGGCAGCAGUGGGGAAUAUUGCGCAAUGGGGGAAACCCUGACGCAGCAACGCCGCGUGAGUGAAGAAGUAUUUCGGUAUGUAAAGCUCUAUCAGCAGGGAAGAAGAUGACGGUACCUGCAGAAGAAGUCCCGGCUAACUACGUGCCAGCAGCCGCGGUAAUACGUAGGGGACAAGCGUUAUCCGGAUUUACUGGGUGUAAAGGGUGCGUAGGUGGCAUGGUAAGUCAGAUGUGAAAACUAUGGGCUCAACCCAUAGACUGCAUUUGAAACUGCCGAGCUAGAGUGCAGGAGAGGAAAGUGGAAUUCCUAGUGUAGCGGUGAAAUGCGUAGAUAUUAGGAGGAACACCAGUGGCGAAGGCGGCUUUCUGGACUGUUACUGACACUGAGGCACGAAAGCGUGGGGAGCAAACAGGAUUAGAUAAAGUGGUAGUCCCCU